UGGAAAUGCAUUUAUUAGCAAGGUUUAUUUU
rnacentral:piRNA from 1 species